UACGGAGGGGGCUAGCGUUGUUCGGAAUUACUGGGCGUAAAGCGCGCGUAGGCGGCUUUGUAAGUUAGAGGUGAAAGCCCGGAGCUCAACUCCGGAAUUGCCUUUAAGACUGCAUCGCUAGAAUCAUGGAGAGGUUAGCGGAAUUCCGAGUGUAGAGGUGAAAUUCGUAGAUAUUCGGAAGAACACCAGUGGCGAAGGCGACUAACUGGACAUGUAUUGACGCUGAGGUGCGAAAGCGUGGGGAGCAAACAGG
rnacentral:rRNA from 1 species